GAUAAACGCUGGCGGCGCACAUAAGACAUGCAAGUCGAACGAACUUAAUCUUUAGUUUACUAUAGAAGCGGUUAGUGGCGGACUGGUGAGUAACGCGUAAGCAAUCUGCCUAUCAGAGGGGGAUAACAGUGAGAAAUCACUGCUAAUACCGCAUAAGCUGUGAAUAUCGCAUGAUAAAAAUAGAAAAGGAGUAAUCCACUGAUAGAUGAGCUUGCGUCUGAUUAGUUAGUUGGUGAGGUAACGGCCCACCAAGACGAUGAUCAGUAGCCGGACUGAGAGGUUAAACGGCCACAUUGGGACUGAGAUACGGCCCAG
rnacentral:rRNA from 1 species